rnacentral:lncRNA from 1 species
AAACCUGUAUAUUUUUUAUUUUUUUUUUCACAAAAAAAAAUCUUUAUUUUCAUCUUAAAAUUAAAACCUGCUACAAUGUUUGGAGAAACAAUUAUUAGGCUUAGUUUGGUAUUGAGAUCUAUCUAACACUAUUAGAUUGAAUGGAGUUGAAAAGAAACAUAUAAGGAUAUAUUUCUGCGUUUUUCAAUAAGACCGCAGAAAAUAUAUCGUAACCAACUAACCGCAAUAUGCGGAACGCAAUAUUAUAUACAAAAAUAUUUUUCCAUUGUCAUUUCUCACCAUACGUAACGCAAUCUUUCCGCAAUCCCAAACUAAGCCUUAAUCGACCAAACUUUUUGCGCUUUGCAAACAUUAUUAAUUUCCUGUUCUCUCCU